rnacentral:rRNA from 1 species
CCUACGGUGGGCUGCAGUGGGGAAUAUUGGGCAAUGGGCGCAAGCCUGACCCAGCAACGCCGCGUGAAGGAAGAAGGCUUUCGGGUUGUAAACUUCUUUUCUGAGGGACGAAGAAAGUGACGGUACCUCAGGAAUAAGCCACGGCUAACUACGUGCCAGCAGCCGCGGUAAUACGUAGGUGGCAAGCGUUAUCCGGAUUUAUUGGGUGUAAAGGGCGUGUAGGCGGGAAAGCAAGUCAGAUGUGAAAACUCAGGGCUCAACCCUGAGCCUGCAUUUGAAACUGUUUUUCUUGAGUGCUGGAGAGGCAAGCGGAAUGCCGUGUGUAGCGGUGAAAUGAGUAGAUAUACGGAGGAACACCAGUGGCGAAGGCAGAUUGCUGGACAGUAACUGACGCUGAGGCGCGAAAGCGUGGGGAGCAAACAGGAUUAGAUACCCUGGGAGUG